GGCUGGUGCAAAGGUAGUGAGUUAUCUCAAUUGAUUGUUCAGUUACAGAUCAAAUGCCUUGUUCUACUUUAUUCCCUCUUCUCACUACUGCGCUUGACUAGUCUAAA
rnacentral:Y_RNA from 1 species